UUUGGGAUCAAAGCAGAAAGAGAGGCUUUGUAAGAGAGUUGGGAGUGAGAAAGGAGAUCUAGGUCCCUUUGUAGAGAAAGCAGCUCAGAUCACAGCCUAGGAGUGUGUGAAAGGGUGAGUCGCUGUGGCAGUGGGUAAGGAAGAGGGAGCCGGGCUGGGAUGCCAACUCUACGUGGGGCAUCUGGCUGAGAAUACACGCCCACAAAACCCAGGCACACCGUGGAGAAACCUGCAGAGAGGCAUUUUGGCAGUGAGUGGAAAGGGGGGCCUGCAGGGGCCUCAAACCGGGAACCAGUCCAAAGCCAUCAGUCUGCCAAGGAGAGAGAGAGCUUGGAAUAACAGCGGCUCCCGGCAGCCACCAUUCUAUUUCCUGAUUCAAUGAGUGUGACUACUCCAGGGGCCCCACUUUAUGGCAGUCAGAGGACGGAACUCAGGUCGCCAGGCUUAGUGCCUGGGCACCUUGAUGUGAGCAGCCAUCAUGCUUAUCUUCAGCAUAGACCCAACCAGCAAAUCAUGGAUUAAAGGCUCCAAAACAGUGAAUCUAAAUAAACCUUUUUUCUUUAUAAUUGGA